rnacentral:misc_RNA from 1 species
AAGACUAUAGACCUGCGGAGUACCUGCGGAAGGAUCAUUACUGAGUUAGGGUCUUUCUGGCCCGACCUCCAACCCUGUGUUUAUUAUACCAUGUUGCUUUGGCGGGCCUGCCCACCCGUGCCCGCCAGGAGCCUUCCUUAAAUUCUGUGUUUAAUUGUGCUGUCUGAGUCCCAGUAACAAAAUAUUAAAAACUUUCAACAACGGAUCUCU